rnacentral:pre_miRNA from 1 species
UUUAACGGAUGAGCCAAGAAAGUGGUUUCUUGAAAUGGAACCUACUGCUGGUGAAGAUGCUGUGAA